rnacentral:rRNA from 1 species
GAGGGGCUUGCGGUCGAUUAGCUAGUUGGUGGGGUAAUGGCCUACCAAGGCUGCGAUCGGUAGCUGGUCUGAGAGGACGGUCAGCCACACGGGGACUGAGAUACGGCCCCGACUCCUACGGGAGGCAGCAGCUAGGAAUCUUGGGAAUGGGCGAAAGCCUGACCCAGCAACGCCGCGUGGGCGAUGAAGGCCUUCGGGUCGUAAAGCCCUUUUGCAGGGGAAGAUGAUGACGGUACCCUGCGAAUAAGCCACGGCUAACUACGUGCCAGCAGCCGCGGUAAUACGUAGGUGGCAAGCGUUGUCCGGAUUUACUGGGCGUAAAGGGCGUGCAGGCGGUCUGCUAAGUCUAGGGUGAAAGCUCCCGGCUCAACUGGGAGAGGUCCUUGGAUACUGGCGGACUUGAGGGAGGUAGAGGAGAGUGGAAUUCCCGGUGUAGUGGUGAUAUGCGUAGAUAUCGGGAGG